GGAGAUUUCUCUGAUAAAGGAUGUUAAAGUUGAAGGUGUGGGCUGCUGCAGGGAAAUGAAGUGACAUGAUUUUAUAUCCUGCCUCUCGGCCAUGCAAUCAACUCAUUCCCCUCACCUGAGGUUGAUGGACCUGACUAUUUUACCUGACCCGCCUGUUCUGACCCUGCUUGCUUGUUUUUGGAUCUCAGAUAUUCUGCUUGCUCAUUUUUUGGAGGGUUGUGUUUGCCUGUGUGACCGAUCUCCCGGUUUUGACCUUGCCUGAACUCUGAGCUGCUUCUUCUUCCGUCUGUGAUGAAAUGGAAACGAGCACUGACAGCUUCUGAAGAGCCGACUCUAAUUUCACAUUGUUCUCUGUCAAAAAGUUCUCUUUAAGCAAUUUAAUUGAUUCUUUUCUGCGAGUCUUUUUGCAGAUCUUAGACGACCUUCUUGGCUGCUCCACCGAGCGAGACUAAAGGCUUCCCUUUAUUAGCUGUAUUUGUGAGACAGACACAUUGUGAACAAUAAAAUCAUUUCGUCAGGGGGGCAUUAUUAGGACCACUCAUCAGCCUGUCAGGACCAGUCAUUUAUCCCCAGUGAGGAGAAGGUCACCAGCUGCCUUUUACCUGUGCAAAACUGAGAUAGCAAAGAGGACGAUUCUGCCAACGGCAGGAGAAAGAUUAUUGGUGAAUCGCCUCUCAGUGGCUCUCAAUUAUUAAGCCAAUUUCCUCCUCUUAUAAAUUUUACUGUUUCAAAGCACUUACUGGGGCUGUAAAUCAUUGCUAAUGACAUCGCCGUCCUUCCUCCAUAAAAUACGACUUAAUCCAGCUUUAGUGGGCUAUCAUGAAGUUGUAGAAGAAUAACCAAUCAUGACACAUUGUUGGCAUUUGUAUAAAAAUAUAAUUAUAUCAUCAUUAGUCAUUUUUACUAAUGGUUUAACUGCAGGGACCGUGGCCAGUGUUUACCAGGAGCUGCGACAGGUGUGACGGUUGGUACUGAGUCAUCGGCAGAGCCGAGAGAAUAGCCAACAGCCAAUGGUGGAGCUUAGAAACACCCUCCAGACUGACUGCUGGGAAGCAGGUGGGCGUCAGCUGCCCUCAUACAUCACAGCACUAACAGCCUCUUCUGCAGACAGUGGGGGGAAAAAAGUGCUCAAGGCGAGAGCUGGAAAAAAAUGUCAAUAGAAAUGAGACAAAAAGAGAGACAGAGAAAAACAGAAAGAGAGGGAACAGCCAGGCCUGAAAAACAGAUCAAACUGGGGAAGGGAAAAAAGAAAAGAAGGUGAUGUAAGAAGAAAAAGCCGGCUGUAAGUAAAACAAAGGAGUCAGCUGCUGGAGUCGUGCACGAACAGCUGGUGCCAAAAACAGAGUCGAGGACAAAGUGGGUUCUGUUUGGACUGGAACCGGGCCAAAGCUGGGCCGGGUUAGCGAGCAGGGAGCGCCGCCAACACCAGAAGAGGCCUACGGGAAGAUCAUUAUAUAACCAAGAGGGGAAACCUCACAGGCACAACAGAGAUGCUCUUGACUCCCUAAUGAUAUGGCUCGGUUUAAACCUAUGUCAAAGGGGAAGGCAGGGAGACAUUAAAAAGAAAGAAAGGCAUCUAUAAAAAGACCAGGAAGGAGGAAAAGAGGAGCGAGGAGAAUGCAGUCCAUUGUUUAUCCAUUAACCACUGCAGCAGAAAAACCGUGGUGCCUGUACUUUUUCACUUUUCUCCCACUUUAGAACAAACCAUUGAUUCAUAUGAAUAUAUAAUUACAGUAUUUGGAAAUUAUUCCUCUUUCAAUAAAGGUAACUGGGCUUGAAUGGAAAAUAUUACAGAAAGCUAUCCAUUUUGAUUCACUUUUCCCAUUUUCAGCAACUUCUUUGCAGAGCGAAAGAUUAAAGAAAUGUGGUUCUCAUUUCUUCCUCUGCUUUCCCUUUUGAAAAAAAACCACAAAAAAAAAACAUUGUGUUGCAUGGAAAGUGAUAAUUCUCUUUUUUUGUCACUCGAGUGUCUCACAAAUAAAACAUUUAUUUCAUGAGAUUCACCAUGUGGUGUUAAAUAAUGAAAUCAGUGUGUAAGAUCAAAUAAAACAAAGAAACAACACCAUUGUGGCUUUUUUAAAUUAAUUUUUUUUACAAUU